CUGAAGACCCAAAAGGAAGUGCUAUCUGACAUUUGAGUCUACAUCCGGAACAGAGGCUGAUGCAUGCUAACCUCUGUGAUGAUAUCCACGGAUGUAUAACGACUGUUUGUGAAUCUAUAAUGACUCAGACACGUUAAACUUCACCUCAGUGGGACACCUCAGUGGGACACCUCAGUGGGACACCUCAGUGGGACACUCGGCGGCGGUUCAUCUCUCUAAAGGCGGGAAGCUCUGAUCUAAAAAACGAGGUGACGAUGUCUCUGCCCGUUCAUGCUAAUGCUAAUGCUAACGUGGACCGGAAGGUGUUGCAGUAUGAAAACUUCAUUAACGAAGUUCUGAAGAGAGAUUUACAAAAGGUGUUGGAGCAGAGGGACUCAGUGUAUGAGAAGAUCUCUCAGUACCUGCAGCUGAAGAACACCAUCCAGACUCUGCAGGAGUCGGGCUCUCAGC